GACGAACGCUGGCGGCGUGCUUAACACAUGCAAGUCGAACGAAGUGGCGAACGGGUGAGUAACGCGUAAACAACCUGCCCUUCAGAGGGGGACAACAAUUGGAAACGACUGCUAAUCCCGCAUACUGAAGGAGGGGAUUGCGUCUGAUUAGUUAGUGGGAGGGGUAAAGGCCCACCAAGGCGAUGGUCAGUAGCCGGUCUGAGAGGAUGAACGGCAACAUGGGGACGGAGACACGGCCCAGACUCCGACGGGAGGCAGCAGUGGGGAAUCUUCCGCAAUGGACGAAAGUCUGACGGAGCAACGCCGCGUGAGUGAUGACGGCCUUCGGGUUGUAAAGCUCUGUUAAUCGGGACGCGGUACCGGAAUAGAAAGCCACGGCUAACUACGUGCCAGCAGCCGCGGUAAUUC
rnacentral:rRNA from 1 species